rnacentral:pre_miRNA from 1 species
UGGUGAGGAUGAUGAUGAUGAUGAUGGUGGUGGUGGUGGUGGUGGCGACGAUGAUGGUAGCACGUGCUUGCACUUGUUUACCUCCUCCCUCCUCUCCACUCUCUCUUUGCACCACGACAUCUCAACUACGACCAUCACCAUCAUCAUCAUCGUCAUCAUCAUCAUCAUCA